UCAAAGGAGACUGCCAGUGAUAAACUGGAGGAAGGUGGGGGAUGACGUCAAGUCAUCAUGGCCCUUACGACCAGGGCUACACACGUGCUACAAUGGCGCAUACAAAGAGAAGCGAACCUCGCGAGAGCAAGCGGACCUCAUAAAGUGCGUCGUAGUCCGGAUUGGAGUCUGCGACUCGACUCCAUGAAGUCGGAAUCGCUAGUAAUCGUGGAUCAGAAUGCCACGGUGAAUACGUUCCCGGGCCUU
rnacentral:rRNA from 1 species